rnacentral:lncRNA from 1 species
UAAAUUCAAUUUUUAAUCUAAUAUAUUUGAUCUCCAAUAUGAUAAUAUCUCAAAGAAGACAUGUCAAAACAAAAAACAUCAUGAAUUUCAAAGGUAUGCUACUUACGUAUCAUGUUGUAUAAAAAAUCAACUGUGGAGGGGUCAUUAUUUGAUUUGUACAGAUAUGAUGUUCAUGUAUUUUAUAUAUAGGCACUUUAAAUAUUGGAAAAAUAUAUCUAAUCGGCUAGGUUUCCAUUUUAUAACCCCCUAUGAUAUUGUUUUAGAAGAAAUAUUGGAAAAAUAUAUCUAAUCGACUAGGUUUCCAUUUUAUAACCCCCUAUGAUAUUGUUUUAGAAGUAUGGUGUUGUUUUAGAAGUACGGUGUACAAUGUCCUUAUUCACCUCGUGCAGACAACAGUUUCUCCAUCAAAUGAGAGAGUAAAAUCUAUGAGACAAUCCCUGUACUAUUCAAAUAUUGUAAAUUAGCCCUUCUACUUUUUACUUAAACAAUUUAGUCUCUAAAGUUUGGCAUGUGUUAUUACUCUAUUCUCUGCAUAUAUAUAUAUAUAUAUAUAUAUAUAGAGAGAGAGAGAGAGAGAGAGAGAGAGAGUCCGGCUAUGGUGCUUGUAAAAGUACCAAGUAUUUAGUGCUUGUAAAUUUUUUACCGUUAGAUCUACGCCUUUGAUCAUUUUCACCCGUUAGAUUAUACUAUUCAACCAACCAUCCACUUAACCCUAGGGGGCCCACAUCAUCUUAACCGCAUAUCCCUUAAUCCAAGGGCUAAAAACUUACAAGCACCAAUGACUUGGUACUUUUAAAAGCAUAGGAGCUCAAUUCUAUAUAUAUAUAUAUAUAUAU